AGUGAACGCUGGCGGUAUGCCUAACACAUGCAAGUCGAACGGCAGCACAGUAAGAUCUCUCCCUUACUGUUGGCGAGUGGCGGACGGGUGAGGAAUAGAUAGCAUUCUACUUUUUCGUGGGGGAUUACGUAGGGAAACUUACGCUAAUACCUCAUACUAUCUACGGGUUAAAGCAGGGGAUCUUCGGACCUUUCGCGAUUGAAUUAGCCGAUUUCGGAUUAGCUAGUUGGCGGGGUAAAGGCCCACCAAGGCGACGAUCCGUAGCUGGUCUGAGAGGAUGAUCAGCCACACUGGAACUGAGACACGGUCCAGACUCCUACGGGAGGCAGCAGUAGGGAAUCUUGGACAAAGGGCGCAAGCCUGAUCCAGCAAUACCGCGUGAGUGAAGAAGGCCUUCGGAUCGUAAAGCUCUUUUGUUGGGAAAGAAAAGAAGCGGAUUAAUCUGCCGCUGUUCUGACGGUACCCAAACAAUAAGCACCGGCUAACUUCGUG
rnacentral:rRNA from 1 species